rnacentral:rRNA from 1 species
AUACGGAGGAUGCGAGCGUUAUCCGGAUUUAUUGGGUUUAAAGGGAGCGUAGGCGGGAGCUUAAGUCAGCGGUUAAAUGGUGCGGCUCAACCGUGCCCUGCCGUUGAAACUGGGUUUCUUGAGAGUGCAAGAGGCGGAUGGAAUUCAUGGUGUAGCGGUGAAAUGCUUAGAUAUCAUGAAGAACUCCGAUUGCGAAGGCAGUCCGCUGGGGCACGUCUGACGCUGAUGCUCGAAGGUGCGGGAAUCAAACAGGAUUAGAUACCCUGGUAGUCCGCACGGUAAACGAUGAUUACCCGCUGUCGGCGGUGGACAGUCGGCGGCCAAGCGAAAGCGAUAAGUAAUCCACCUGGGGAGUACGCCGGCAACGGUGAAACUCAAAUGAAUUGGCGGGG